UACGAAGGGGGCUAGCGUUGUUCGGAAUCACUGGGCGUAAAGCGCACGUAGGCGGAUCUUUUAAGUCAGGGGUGAAAUCCCGAGGCUCAACCUCGGAACUGCCUUUGAUACUGGGAUCUCGAGUCCGGGAGAGGUGAGUGGAACUGCGAGUGUAGAGGUGAAAUUCGUAGAUAUUCGCAAGAACACCAGUGGCGAAGGCGGCUCACUGGCCCGAUACUGACGCUGAGGUGCGAAAGCGUGGGGAGCAAACAGGG
rnacentral:rRNA from 1 species